rnacentral:rRNA from 1 species
AAUGGGUCAGCGACUUAUAUUCUGUAGCAAGGUUAACCGAAUAGGGGAGCCGAAGGGAAACCGAGUCUUAACUGGGCGUUAAGUUGCAGGGUAUAGACCCGAAACCCGGUGAUCUAGCCAUGGGCAGGUUGAAGGUUGGGUAACACUAACUGGAGGACCGAACCGACUAAUGUUGAAAAAUUAGCGGAUGACUUGUGGCUGGGGGUGAAAGGCCAAUCAAACCGGGAGAUAGCUGGUUCUCCCCGAAAGCUAUUUAGGUAGCGCCUCGUGAAUUCAUCUCCGGGGGUAGAGCACUGUUUCGGCAAGGGGGUCAUCCCGACUUACCAACCCGAUGCAAACUGCGAAUACCGGAGAAUGUUAUCACGGGAGACACACGGCGGGUGCUAACGUCCGUCGUGAAGAGGGAAACAACCCAGACCGCCAGCUAAGGUCCCAAAGUCAUGGUUAAGUGGGAAACGAUGUGGGAAGGCCCAGACAGCCAGGAUGUUGGCUUAGAAGCAGCCAUCAUUUAAAGAAAGCGUAAUAGCUCACUGGUCGAGUCGGCCUGCGCGGAAGAUGUAACGGGGCUAAACCAUGCACCGAAGCUGCGGCAGCGACACUAUGUGUUGUUGGGUAGGGGAGCGUUCUGUAAGCCUGUGAAGGUGUACUGUGAGGUAUGCUGGAGGUAUCAGAAGUGCGAAUGCUGACAUAAGUAACGAUAAAGCGGGUGAAAAGCCCGCUCGCCGGAAGACCAAGGGUUCCUGUCCAACGUUAAUCGGGGCAGGGUGAGUCGACCCCUAAGGCGAGGCCGAAAGGCGUAGUCGAUGGGAAACAGGUUAAUAUUCCUGUACUUGGUGUUACUGCGAAGGGGGGACGGAGAAGGCUAUGUUGGCCGGGCGACGGUUGUC